GGAAAUGAUGAUAUAUUUUGUCGCCCCAGUCUUACUUGCAUAUGUUGAUGCAAGUUGGUGAUUGACAUUUUUAUCUGAUUC